CUGACUGUACGGUCACAGCGCGCCUGUGUGCCGCGCCCUUGGCGGGGAGCGGUCAAGCCAGAGCAGCGAGGUCCUGAACCAGAGACCUGACCCGGGACACGAAACAGGCGGAGGAGGCCGGGCAUGGGGCACCCCGGGGCCACCCCCUUUGAAGAUCCGCACCGGCCAGGUCACGGCUCGCGGGCCCACACUGGGGGGGUCCACCGUGGUCGAUGAGAGCGUGCGGCCAGUGUCCUAUAUCUGAGGGCAUGCCUCACUGCUCUGCAGAGUUGGGACCCAAGACCAACAAAAUACGGCAACCAAGGGGUGUCUCCCCGGCCUUCCCCGUGGACCCAGCUCUUCCACGGCUUCCAGUGGCCCCACUUGGGUGAACUUGAAGUCAGAGGCCAGAGCUCACGUGCGGAGUCGCAGAUUCCUGCUUCCUGCACAUCCAGAGAGCAGCCCUCUUCUCCUCCAUGAAGCCACAGCUUUGGGGUUGCCUGUGUUCACGGGCACCCCCGAGAUCUUCACAAAGCAGAGGAGGGAAGACUGAUCCAGCCCAAGAGGAACUACCUCCCACUGUCAGCGCCCCAAUCCACCCCUCUCUUCACAUGUCCUGUCUCUGGUAGAGUCAUCCAGCUCUCUUUUUUCCCUCCACCCUAUAGAACCCGAUUUUUGCCAGGCAUACGCUCACCCAGAAU